AACGAACGUUGGCGGCGUGGAUGAGGCAUGCAAGUCGAACGCGAAAGCCGCAAGGCGAGUAAAGUGGCGGACGGGCGAGUAACACGUAAUCAAGCUACCUGCGAGACGGGGAUAACUUCGGGAAACCGAAGCUAAGACCCGAUGGUCUUCUAGGAACGCAUGUUCCAUGAAGUAAAUGGGCGGGAUCCUCCGGGAUCGCCUGCUCGCAGAGGUGAUUGCGGCCCAUCAGCUAGUUGGUAGGGUAAUGGCCUACCAAGGCAACGACGGGUAGCCGGCCUUAGAGGGUGGUCGGCCGCACUGGGACUGAGACACUGCCCAGACUCCUACGGGAGGCUGGCAGUCGAGAAUCUU
rnacentral:rRNA from 1 species